UACAGAGGGUGCAAGCGUUGUUCGGAAUUACUGGGCGUAAAGCGUGCGCAGGCGGUUCGCUAAGACCGAUGUGAAAUCCCCGGGCUUAACCUGGGAACUGCAUUGGUGACUGGCGAGCUAGAGUGUGGCAGAGGGGGGUAGAAUUCCACGUGUAGCAGUGAAAUGCGUAGAGAUGUGGAGGAAUACCGAUGGCGAAGGCAGCCCCCUGGGCUAACACUGACGCUCAUGCACGAAAGCGUGGGGAGCAAACAGG
rnacentral:rRNA from 1 species